rnacentral:lncRNA from 1 species
GGAGGAAGGAGUUUGCAUCCAAAUCUUUAUAUCAUCUCCACCCUCUCCUCAUGUCUCCUCCCUGUGUUAGUUUCACACAUUUAACAGUUCUCCUCAAAUCUACUUCAGCAAAGUCUCCAUUGUGGCUAACUGGGUUGAUUAUUAGCUACAGCGCUGAGCUACCUUCUGCAGAGGGCCUGUGUGUCUUCAGAGUUCAUCCUACAAACAACCAUCUGGGGGCAGAUUGUGAGCUUGUGGGACCUUUUCUUGAGAUAAAACAGCGAUUACAUUCCUAUGUACCAGUCUGCAGCACACUCUAGCCCUGUAUUUUUUGGUAUCAUGAUUUUAUUAAAGAUAAGUAAUCUCCAAAGAUACUAAGGCAAAGGAAACAAGACAGAAUAUUCCUUUGGAUAGCAAAAAUCUCUCAUAUACUCAUAUACAACCAAUGUCAACCUCUUGAAUUUUGGAGAAACACGGUCUUCUCUCAGCUUUUUCACAAAGCUUCCAUUAGAGACCAGUUGGGUUCACUGGUUGGGUUUUUGCUUUGUCUUUUCAUUUUUCAAUCAGUUUCUAUUCUGAAACAUGCAAUUAAGAACAUGUUGUGCUAUCUGAAACAAUAGGUAGGGUUUACAUAUAGCUGUCAAUUAUCACAGAAGGUGCUGGGAAACAUCCUGUAAAGCUCCAUCUACACUAUGUGAAAAGGAAAUCACAGCUGCAGCUAAGCAAGCAACAUAAUAAUAAUAAUUACCCUGAAAUCAUCUGCUUGAAUUUUCAAAUGAAUCCACAUGACCAGGCUUAAGCUCAAAUAGCAUUCCUUUUCUGGCAGCUUUCUAUCAGUUCAUUAUUACAAGCUUGUGCAGAAAGAAUACUUAUAGGACCUUAGAGCUGGAAAGAUUUUCUGGGUGUCUGAUUUUUGCUCCCUGCUGUGCCUGGUAGACAUUCUGUAUUUGAACCACUUGCAAGUGAUAAAGCUCUGUCUUUAAAAACAAAAGGGUGGGCAAUUCUUUCUAUAAUUUCCCUUUAAAAGAUGCUCACCAUUUAGAAGCAUCUCAUUUCCAGCUUGAUCUUUUCUUAGCUAAAAUUGUCCUUCAGCAUCAAUGAUCUUCCCACUGUUUACUACCUAUAAACUCUUGCAGACUGGGUUUUGAUUCAGUAAAUAAGCUAAGCUCUUCUGGUCUCCUCCUAU